GAAUUUAAUUUUCAAACCCUUUACCCUAUUUAUAUUAGAAUGAAACAGACAAAUAAUUGUUAACGCUUUAAGUUGUGUUCUAUUGAAAGGAUCUAGCUACAUGCUAACGAGAGCUCGACUCGGCGGAAGCAUAAAUACUUCAGCGCGGAAGGAUACAUGAGUGAAUCGUGAUCCAAAUGUCAGUCUCCGUCAGUGUCGAUCAAAGUCGGGAGGAUGGCGCUUGGACAUUUAGCAACGGAGGAUUUAAUCACGGGCUUACUUCGUUUUGGAAUAAAGGUCACUGAAGAGGAGCGAAGUAAAUUCAAAGAUAAUGAAGUUGACGGAGAAGCAGUGGACUAUGGAUUGACUGAGAGGAUGGUUUCAUACCUCUUUGAAGGAUCGUUUAAGAAGCAAGCCAAAUUCAACCGAUUUGUACAGCAGUGGAAAGAAACCGUGACACUAACCGUUGAGCCUGUCCCGGUACAUUCAGAGAAGGCUACAGUGGAAUCAAGAAUGAAUAUCUGCCGAAGAUUUUAAGAUGGCUUUAAGAUCCUAGUACCCACAGUGCUUAGACUGACUCAAAGGAAAUCUCCCCUUGCAGAUCUGGCUUUGGAGGAAAGAGAGGCUGCCCGCACCGAAGAUGUCCCUGGGAUUGAUUUCAGAGCUGCAAUCCUGCUGUUGCCGAUCCUGUUCAGGGAGAAAAAUGACAUUCUCGUCAUACUUGGAGAGGUGUGUAAUUUGCGUGUACUUAUUUUUUGUUUACAUUACUUCACGCAGAGACUGGGAGAAUUAUAUGCAUCCCUUGGAUGUCUUAUUUCAUAAUACAAAGUUUCUAGCUGUCAAUACUGGGCCUUGGUGUGGACAUGGG